rnacentral:rRNA from 1 species
GAGAUUCCCCCAGUAGCGGCGAGCGAACGGGGAGGAGCCCAGAGUCUGAAUCAGUGUGUGUGUUAGUGGAAGCGUCUGGAAAGGCGCGCGAUACAGGGUGACAGCCCCGUACACAAAAAUGCACAUACUGUGAGCUCGAUGAGUAGGGCGGGACACGUGGUAUCCUGUCUGAAUAUGGGGGGACCAUCCUCCAAGGCUAAAUACUCCUGACUGACCGAUAGUGAACCAGUACCGUGAGGGAAAGGCGAAAAGAAC